rnacentral:lncRNA from 1 species
AAGAAAUCAGAGUUUUAAAAAGAAAGAUGUGGAUAUUGGGACAAUGUUCAGUAACUUGACCUGCUCAUGACAAAUAUUGCUAUAGUUUUUGGUUUGUUUUUAUCUUCUUUUUUGUUUUGCCACUGCUAUAUCAGGAAAAGUGACUGUUUCAGAUCCCCAGUGACAGAUAUCAGAACUAGGAUCAAGUGACUCCGCUUUUAAACUGCUCAAUUUUCUGAGAAGUUACAGUUACAAAAAGGGAGCAUUUUCUCCCUUCUUGCUUCCAAAUAGGUACUUUCGCAUUCAUCUUUCUAUACCCUAAAAUGACAAAGGAGAAUCUCUACUUUUCCCACGUUUUCUGGGGAAUGGGCUGGCAAUGGAGAGUCUGGUGUGGGAUAGAAUGACUCCAGAGAAAUUACUCAGCCACCAUUUGAUCCCAGCCUUUGUCCCCAUGUUCUGGAAACAGUGGCUGCUUGCCUUCUCAGGGUUCCACACAAUAAUUUAAAAAUGUGUUGUCCUGACAAGGCCUGAAAACAGAAGGAGGAGUCCAGGAGGGUGGUGAUUUUUUUUCUGAUUACAUCACUUGAUCCAAGCACCGCCUGCAGAGAGCUUUUUCUGUUUGUUCAGAGUUGCCUCCAGCUUGGAGUUAGAACUAGCAGGAAAAUAAGGAGCACCCUGGAAAUCAAUUUCUCCUCUCUGUACGGGAUUUUUUCCAGUCUAGGUACAGCUGCUUAACUCCCCCAACUCAGAUGAUCUUGUGAAAUGACAGCCACAUCCAUGUGGUUUCUCCCUAUAAAUAACAUUAGGGGAAAUAACCCUUUUUUGCUUUAAAAAAAAAAAAAAAAACCCUAUAUAUUGCUUAUGUAAAGAAUGUUGAAUCAUUUGGCCCAUGUUUUAAUUGAUUCUAGACACCUCUUUGGAAAUAAGUCUGAGGCGUAGUUUGUGAAACAUGUUUCAAAAGUGUUUGAUGUAAAAUAAAUGCUAGACAUUUACAGUACAGAAAUAGUUUUUAAAAAAAAUGUAGAUUACAACUCUGUUCCUAAGAACCUCAGCCUUUAUUGUGUCUUAGUAAAGCUGAUCUGCUUUCAUUUUAGUUUAUUGCAUUUCUGGUGUAAUAGCCUCUUAAGAUAGAACUAUUAAUACAUAUGUACUGGUUAAUGCCUGUUAAUGCAGAAAAUGGCACUUUGUUCUUUCAAUGUGUUUCCCUCAGUGUCACAGGGUAUAACAGUUUGAUAGGAAAAGGUCAUCUGACAUUAGUCAAAAAUGCAUUCUCCCCAUUUAAAAUGUGUAUGUAUAAUUGGUUGCAUAGACAAAUGUCACCUUUUGCAGUAUCUUUACCUUGAUCAUAGUCUUAGACAUCAACUGUGUGUCCACUUUCCAGCUGCCAUAGAAAUUUGGUACAUUUGCAAAUUCUGGUGAAACUUUGUGAGCUGAAUGUAAUGGUAGAUCAAAUGAUCCAAAGCACUUGGGUGUUAUCCUUCAGUCUACAUUGAACCAUUCGGACAUUGGGAAUAGUCUUUACACAAGGGAAGUCUUUUGAGAGUAUUUGUGGGGUUUUUUUGUUUCUUAUCUGUUGGAUUUCACUGGCAAAAAAAAAAAAAGUAAUCUAAACACAGUGGGAUCAAUUCACCAUAUAACAUUUUCUAUAUUGUGAUUGGUUUUAUCUUUUUGUUGACUCUUAUUAUGACCUUUACUCAAUUUCAACAAUAUUUCAAUAGAUACUUUAUUACUGUUAUGCUCAAUAUAAUCACUUAGAAAGGUUGACGGGAAGAAAAUCAAACUACAAGUCAUACAUACCUUCACUUUACACUAAGACAUCAUGUUGUAUGUCACAUAGUUUCUAGAUUGAUUUCUCUUGUGUAUAAGUUAUAACAUCAAAGAUGCCAAAGGGUAUAUGAAAUAAGCUACAGUAAUAGUCAACAGAACUUAACCUGGACCUUAUGUUGUAAUAAUUUAUUCAUAUUAGCUGUAGUCUUCUGUAUUUAUAUUUUCAGUAUUUAUUAUGAAUGACAUGGAAAUUCGUGUAUUUAUUGUGGCUUUUUAUUGCAGUGUG